UACGGGAGGCAGCAGUGGGGAAUAUUGGGCAAUGGGCGCAAGCCUGACCCAGCGACGCCGCGUGAGGAAAGAAGGUCUUCGGAUUGUAAACCUCUUUCAGCAGGGAAGAAGGAAGUGACGGUACCUGCAGAAGAAGCCACGGCUAACUACGUGCCAGCAGCCGCGGUAAU
rnacentral:rRNA from 1 species